rnacentral:misc_RNA from 1 species
UAUUUCCUUUGAUCUCCUUUGAUUCUAACAUUUCAACAUUUUAUUCAACUCUCUCUAUUUGUUUUCACUAAUUCAUAUUAUUUACAGGUUCGGAGAAUGCAGAUGGAGAUGUCGCCUCUAUACAUGUACCUGAAGUUAUUCUAUGAAUUCGGAGCUGGGAAUAUAGAGAACGUUAGUAGAACCGAAGAAGACGACGAAUAAGGUUUGGGAGACUCAUCAAGUUUCCAUUGAAAUAGGAUCUACAAAGAAUACAAAGAGG